rnacentral:rRNA from 1 species
UACAGAGGUCCCAAGCGUUGUUCGGAUUCACUGGGCGUAAAGGGUGCGUAGGUGGCCAGGUAAGUUCGGUCGUGAAAGCUCGGAGCUUAACUCCGAAAUGGCAUUGAAUACUAUCUGGCUAGAGGGUCGGAGGGGAGACUGGAAUUCUCGGUGUAGCAGUGAAAUGCGUAGAUAUCGAGAGGAACACCAGUGGCGAAGGCGACUAUCUGGC